CUAACGCUCCGCUCGUUUAAAUGCGCGUGCUCGAGGAUUGAACUGACGGCAAAGGCUAGCUCGUUGACUUCCGCCGAUAAACUUCCUCUUUCAUCGUAUCAAUUCGUGCAGUGUAGACGUGAAUCCGUCUUUGCUGCUGUGAAAAAUGAGAGCUAAGUGGCGUAAGAAGCGUAUGCGGAGGUUGAAGCGUAAGCGCAGGAAGAUGCGUGCGAGAUCCAAGUAAACCCCCGGCCGGUAUUCCUCUACCGAUUAAGCUGUGCGGAGGACCUCUCGAUCACCGGGAAAGUCGAACCCAGUGGUGGCAACAUUCCGGACACCGUUGAAGCAAGCGUCAUUUUUUGCCGUCUUCCUGCGGCGGUGUGUUUGCUUUUAUCAGUUCACGUUUGGAGCGAUCCGAAUAAAAACCGUGACGAGCGGACAAUGUGCUUCCGGGGACGAUGGAUCCGGUCGAACACUGAAUAACUCUAAA